rnacentral:snoRNA from 12 species
GUCAGAUGAUUUGAAUUGUUAUGCUGACGCUCUGUGAGGUAUGACAGGUAAUAGCAUGUUAGAGUUCUGAUGGCA